rnacentral:rRNA from 1 species
UACGGAAGGCAGCAGUGGGGAAUAUUGCACAAUGGGCGAAAGCCUGAUGCAGCUAUGCCGCGUGUAUGAAGAAGGCCUUAGGGUUGUAAAGUACUUUCAUCGGGGAGGAAAAACAAAACUAAUAAUUUUAUUUCUUGACGUUACCCGAAAAAGAAGCACCGGCUAACUCCGUGCCAGCAGCCGCGGUAAUACGGAGGGUGCUAGCGUUAAUCAGAAUUACUGGGCGUAAAGAGCACGUAGGUGGUUUUUUUAAGUCAGAUGUGAAAUCCCUGGGCUUAACCUAGGAACUGCAUUUUGAAACUGAAAUACUAGAGUAUCGUAGGGGGAGGUAGAAUUCUAGGUGUAGCGGUGAAAUGCGUAGAUAUCUGGAGGAAUACCUGUGGCGAAAGCGGCCUCCUAAACGAAUACUGACACUGAGGUGCGAAAGCGUGGGGAGCAAACAGGGAUUAGAUACCCGU